CCCAUAGGGCACUCCGCCAAUGUAGUACGCUGCAUCCGCGAGCACUCAGGCCACCCGUUGUCUUGCUUGGAGAGUUAGUGAGCGAAGUCACAUGAUCAUCCAAGGGACCACGGGCGCCACUAUGUAGCCACUCCCGCACCGCAUUACACGGAGGGAGGGGGAGAAAGAAGAUGAUACCGAGUCACAUUUCGUGNCAGAACACGUAGGCAACACNGGCAAAGCAUGAGGCCCCAAUAACAUCNUUGGGUCNUAUAANGAGGGAGAUGCAGUAAGGACGGUNGGGUGCNCAAGGGCACAGAGCCCGCCUUUACAAGAAAAUGCCAAGCAACUUAAGUGCCGACNCGGUCAUUUUCCGGUAUUUCCCCCCUUCGCCCAGAGGCGUGUCUAUCACUAAGAUAGGCAAA
rnacentral:misc_RNA from 1 species